GCACAUGCAAAGAAAGCAAAACCCACAGUGGGUAUCUUUUGGACUGUUGCAAUCCUGGUUCUCACAACUUCGCAGCUAUAUUAGCCCCCUCUCGCUCAGCUCCUUCUGCUAACAACCCCAUUCCCUGCAGAGCCAGUCUUCACCAGUCUAGUUAGUGGCUCUUCGUUCAGUUGUGCCGAUCGAACCUGUAGUUGCAGCAGCUCUGACGAUGAGGAGAUUCCAAACCUUGACGCUGCUUGCAGCGCUGCUGCUGCUAGUUGUUUGCAGCUGCUCAGCUGCAAGGAUUCUAGAGGAGAAUCAUGCGGCGCCGCAGAUGAAGUUUAAGAAGGGCAUGAUGCAUCAUCCCCCGGCGCCGAAGCUGUCAUUGCCUCCAUUGCCAUCGAUACCGAGCUUUGGGAAGAAGUGCCCUCCUCCUCCUGCUCCCCCUGUUGUAGAGUCUCCCCCGUAUGUGUCCCCCCCCUCACCUGUGUACAUGUCUCCUCCUUACUCUCCCUCUCCCGUGUACAAGUCCCCUCCUUCCCCUUACUAGACACAACAGAGCCAGUAAGUCAGUCAGCCAGCUGAGGUAUUGUUGGCUAACGGGUACAUGCCAAGUUGAGGGGUUGAAGGAACUAGGUGAUCGACAAAGCUGCGUUGGGAGAAUUUCAUUAUCUGGUGGCAUGAGAAUUUGCUGGUAGAUGGGAAAGACAGAUGAUCUGAUUGGGGCCAGAGGUGUGAUGAGUUCGUUGCAUUACAAGUCACUAUUUGUAUUUCUGUAAGAAAGAUUGAUGUCAUGUGAGGAUUAUCAUUCAACAGUGUUGGAUUCCACAUGAAAAUAAGUUUUUAUUGUGUACUUUAGCAUGGUUCCUAGUAUUACAGUUGGUGCCGGUUAGCAGUUGUUGUGAGUGUCGAUUAAUGCACGUUGCUUAGAGCGGCGCAUGAUAUAGCUUCUGGUGGCUAUUCAUUUAUCAAUGAACUCUACUCUCUCUGGCAUUUGAAACAAGUGUCCUUUUUUUUUCA